UACCCAGUGGCGGACGGGUGAGUAACACGUGGGAAUCUGCCUGUGGGUGGGGGAAUAACUGACCGAAAGGUUAGCUAAUACCCCAUAUGCCGAAAGGUAAAAGGAGUAAUUCGCCUGCAGAUGAGCCCGCGUCCGAUUAGCUAGUUGGUAGGGUAAAGGCUUACCAAGGCAACGAUCGGUAGCUGGUCUGAGAGGAUGAUCAGCCACAAUGGAACUGAGACACGGUCCAU
rnacentral:rRNA from 1 species